rnacentral:lncRNA from 1 species
ACAAAUUCUUUCAGGAAUGCCACAGAUGUACAUGCUCCCGCAGAUCUAUAUUUUCCAAUGUUGUUAACAUCAGCCAGCUGGCAACCUACAACCUGUCUUGUAUAAUGUUUGAAGAGAGGCAUCCUCCAGACACGGUCCCCUGUUUCAAUGCUGGCCUGGAAGAGCUUGUUCCAGAGCCAGGAUGAAUUGGUAAAGACCCCAGUGGAACCUGACCCCAAAGCUACAUCUAUGACACCUGUUAAGGUGGUGGCAUUGAGGAUGACCUUCAGGUUAAAUGUGUGCACGUAACAGAGCACAUCAGCCAGUAUGAGCCUCCCCUCGGCAUCAGUGUUAUCAACCUGGAUGGUCUUCCCGUUCCUGGCUCUACCAACAUCCCCCAGCUUGUUGGCCUUGCCGCUGGGCAUAUUUUCACAAAGGGGGGCCAGACCUAUAAUAUUAAUGGGCAAAUUGAGCUUUGCAGCAGACACAAUGGCUGAGCAUAUAGUUGUAGCUCCUCCCAUGUCGGCCCUCAUGAGGUCCAUAUUUGCAGAAGCCUUGAUGGAGAUACCACCACUGUCAAAGGUAAUUCCUUUCCCAACAAACAAGGGGUGGUUUGUCUGCAUUGGGGCUGCCUAUGUAGUGAAUUUCCAAGAAGACUGAGGGCUCGUCAGAUCCUUUGGCCACACUGAGGAAUGAUCCCAUUGCCUGUUCCUCAAUCCAAGACCUGGGUCUGAUAUGAACCUCGGUUUACUACAAGCACUUUUGAGAUUCUUCUCAAUAAUUUCGGCAAAUCUGGUUGGCAUCAUCUCGCUGGCUGGCGUCUCCAUCAUGCCAAGUUCUGCCGAGAAGCAAACAGGACUCCUUUCUGCCAGGCCUCCUGAUUCCCAGUUCCAUAGAGCUUCACCGACAUAGCCAUCUUCUUUUUUUGCUUUAGGUCAUCGUAUUCAUAGAGACCAAGCACCGCGCCCUCCUCAGCAGCCUGAGCGUCUCUACAGGGAUCCACCUCCACGGAAGAGAGCUCUGGGUCUUGAAUCUGCCUGCAUCCUGCUGCAACAGCAGCUCUGAUGUUUUCUUUGCCUUCCUGCCAGUUUUCCUGUUCGUCGAUUCUGGCUACCUUUUUGCCGAGGCCAACUAGCACCACGCUGGGGAAGUCCUGAUGCAGACCAUAAAAGGUUCGAGUCUUGCCUGCCUUCAGAGGUGGUCCAGAUAUGUUCAAAGUCUCUCUCAGCUUUCCAGCUAUCAAUUUAUCAAGAUUCUCUCCUGCACUUGUGAACUGUGGCACAUCAUCUUCUUUUUCUUUGGAAUAGAUUCCUAAAACAAGGCCCUUUGUCAUGUCUGCAGCGGAGAGACCCCGGCUCCCGAAACAUCUCACAGCCAGACGUCAGACAAUGACUCGCCCCACCCAAUGUUUGUAUUUUAGUAGAGAGAGGGUUUCUCUAUGUUGGUCAGGCUGGUCUCAAACCUCGACCUCAGUUGAUCUGUCUGCCUCGGUCUCCCAAAGUGCUGAGAUUACAAGCGUGAGCCACUGC